rfam:Sporanaerobacter acetigenes DSM 13106 genome assembly, contig: EJ96DRAFT_scaffold00015.15
AAGCACGAAGUCCCCCUCAAGAUGAGAUUUCCCACUUUUUAAGGUAAGACUCCAAGUAGACCACUUGGUUGAUAGGUCCCAGGUAUAAGGGUAGCAAUAUCCUUAGCUAAGGGAUACUAAUAAGUCGAGGGCUUGACCAA